rnacentral:rRNA from 1 species
UACGGGGGGAGCAAGCGUUGUUCGGAUUUACUGGGCGUAAAGGGCGCGUAGGCGGUCAGCACAAGUCAAUUGUGAAAUCUCCGAGCUUAACUCGGAAAGGUCAACUGAAACUGUGCGACUAGAGUGCGGAAGGGGCAACUGGGAAUUCUUGGUGUAGCGGUGAAAUGCGUAGAUAUCAAGAGGAACACCUGCGGCGAAGGCGGGUAGCUGGGCCGACACUGACGCUGAGGCGCGAAAGCCAGGGGAGCGAACGGGG